UACAGAGGUGGCAAGCGUUGUUCGGAAUUACUAGGCGUAAAGGGCGCGUAGGCGGUCAGGUCAGUCCCGUGUGAAAUCCCUCGGCUCAACUGAGGAACUGCACGGGAAACUACCUGGCUUGAGUUCGGGAGAGGGAAGCGGAAUUCCGGGUGUAGCGGUGAAAUGCGUAGAUAUCCGGAGGAACACCGGGGGCGAAGGCGGCUUCCUGGACCGACACUGACGCUGAGGCGCGAAAGCUAGGGGAGAAAACGGG
rnacentral:rRNA from 1 species